AUUAGCAUAUUAAUGAGGGGAGGAAAAGAAACUAACAAGGAUUUUCUUAGUAGCGGCGAGCGAAAAGAAAAUAGUUCAGCACUAAGUCACUUUGUCUUAAUGGCAAAUGUGAGAUGCAGUGUAUGGAAUGUCAAAUUUCUAGUAUGAGAAAUUAACGAUUUAAGUCCUUCUUAAAUGAGGCCAUUUACCCAAAGAGGGUGCCAGGCCCGUAUAACGUUAAUGAUUACUAGAUGGCAUUUCCAAAGAGUCGUGUUGCUUGAUAGUGCAGCACUAAGUGGGUGGUAAACUCCAUCUAAAACUAAAUAUAACCAUGAGACCGAUAGUAAACAAGUACCGUGAGGGAAAGUUGAAAAGAACUCUGAAUAGAGAGUUAAAUAGUACGUGAAACUGCUUAGAGGUUAAGCCCGAUGAACCUGAAUAUCCAUUAUAGAAAAUUCAUCAUUAUGAUUUUAAUAUUUAUAAUAUUAUAAUAAUGGUGUGCAUUUUUUCUAUAAAAGGACAUUGUAAUCUAUUAACAUCAAAUAUUUAUCAAAAGAUCAAUUGCAAAAGUUUAUUCAAAUUAUUUUGCUUGCAAUUUAACAUAGAAUAAAUGCUUUUGAUUUGAUAAAGUGUUGAUAGAUUUAUUAUAUAUAGUGCUUGAAUAUUUAUAUUCUAUAAUAGCAUAUUAAUCAUUGAUUUUUAUGUUUAUUAUAUGCACUUAUAUGAUUAACAAUGCGAAAGAUUCAGGAUACCUUCGGGACCCGUCUUGAAACACGGACCAAGGAGUCUAACAUAUUUGCAAGUUAUUGGGAAUAAAAACCUAAUAGCGAAAUUAACAUAACUUAUUUAAUGGGAUUAAUUUUUAGCCUAUUUAUAGUCUAUUAAUUCAAUCCCGGGGCGUUCUAUACAGUUAUGUAUAAUAAUAUUUAUAUUAUUUAUACCUCUAACUAGAGCGUACCUUGAGCAUAUAUGCUGUGACCCGAAAGAUGGUGAACUAUACUUGAUCAGGUUGAAGUCAGGGGAAACCCUGAUGGAAGACCGAAACAGUUCUGACGUGCAAAUCGAUUGUCAGAAUUGAGUAUAGGGGCGAAAGACCAAUCGAACCAUCUAGUAGCUGGUUCCCUCCGAAGUUUCCCUCAGGAUAGCUGGUGCAUUUAAAAAUUAUGUAAAAUAAUCUUAUCUGGUAAAGCGAAUGAUUAGAGGCCUUAGGGUCGAAACGACCUUAACCUAUUCUCAAACUUUAAAUGGGUAAGAACCUCACCUUUCUUGGUAUGAAGGUUGUGGUUGUGAUAUAAUGUGCCCAGUGGGCCACUUUUGGUAAGCAGAACUGGCGCUGUGGGAUGAACCAAACGUAAUGUUACGGUGCCCAAAUUAACAACUCAUGCAGAUACCAUGAAAGGCGUUGGUUGCUUAAAACAGCAGGACGGUGGACAUGGAAGUCGUAAUCCGCUAAGGAGUGUGUAACAACUCACCUGCCGAAGCAACUAGCCCUUAAAAUGGAUGGCGCUUAAGUUGUAUACCUAUACAUUACCGCUAAAGUAGAUGGUUUAUGUUCAAUCUCGGUUGGAUUAUAAACUUUGAAACUUUAGUGAGUAGGAGGGUACAAUGGUGAGCAUAGAAGUGUUUGGCGUAAGCCUGCAUGGAGCUGCCAUUGGUACAGAUCUUGGUGGUAGUAGCAAAUAAUCGAAUGAGACCUUGGAGGACUGAAGUGGAGAAGGGUUUCGUGUGAACAGUGGUUGAUCACGAGUUAGUCGGUCCUAAGUUCAAGGCGAAAGCCGAAAAUUUUCAAGUUAUAAUGAAAAGUACUAAAUUGUGCUUAGUAAUUAAACACUUGAAUAAUUUUGAACGAAAGGGAAUACGGUUCCAAUUCCGUAACCUGUUGAGUAUCCGUUUGUUAUUAAAUAUGGGCCUUGUGCUCAUCCUGGCAACAGGAACGACCAUAAAGAAGCCGUCGAGAGAUAUCGGAAGAGUUUUCUUUUCUGUUUUAUAGUCGUACUACCAUGGAAGUCUUUCGAAGAGAGAUAUGGUAGAUGGACUAGAAGAGCAUGACAUUUACUGUUGUGUCGAUAUUUUCUCCUCGGACCUUGAAAAUUUAUGGUGGGGUCACGCAAACUUCUCAACAGGCCGUACCAAUAUCCGCAGCUGGUCUCCAAGGUGAAGAGUCUCUAGUCGAUAGAAUAAUGUAGGUAAGGGAAGUCG
rnacentral:rRNA from 1 species